UAAACAUACACAAAUUUAUUUGUUAAUAUAAUAGAUGGAUAACUUAGAGAUUUUUACAUUUUUAUAACAUGCAGAGAAUAAUAUGUGUUAAUAAAUCAGAAAGAGGAACUGAGGGAAGUCGUAGGGGGGUGGGAGGGGGGAGGAGGGGGAAAUGGGAGGGGGGAAUUGGGGGGAAAUACAAUUGUUGGAGUAAUUUGUUAUGUGAAAAUAGUCAAUAAUUUUUUAUUUU